GUGGGGAAUUUUGGACAAUGGGCGCAAGCCUGAUCCAGCAAUGCCGCGUGCAGGAAGAAGGCCUUCGGGUUGUAAACUGCUUUUGUACGGAACGAAACGGUCCUGGUUAAUACCUGGGGCUAAUGACGGUACCGUAAGAAUAAGCACCGGCUAACUACGUGCCAGCAGCCGCGGUAAUACGUAGGGUGCAAGCGUUAAUCGGAAUUACUGGGCGUAAAGCGUGCGCAGGCGGUUUUGUAAGACAGGCGUGAAAUCCCCGGGCUCAACCUGGGAAUUGCGCUUGUGACUGCAAGGCUGAAGUGCGGCAGAGGGGGAUGGAAUUCCGCGUGUAGCAGUGAAAUGCGUAGAGAUGCGGAGGAACACCGAUGGCGAAGGCAGCCUCCUGGGAUAACACUGACGCUCAGGCACGAAAGCGUGGGGAGCAAACAGGAUUAGAAACCCCGGUAGUCC
rnacentral:rRNA from 1 species